AUGCUCACUUCAGUAGCACAUAUACUAAAGUUAGAACGAUUCGGAGAAGAUUAGCAUGGCCUCUGAACAAGGAUGACAUGCAAAUUCGUGAAGCAUUCCAUAUUUUA
rnacentral:snRNA from 1 species